rnacentral:rRNA from 1 species
CCUACGGGGGGCUGCAGUGAGGAAUAUUGGUCAAUGGACGAGAGUCUGAACCAGCCAAGUAGCGUGAAGGAUGACUGCCCUAUGGGUUGUAAACUUCUUUUAUAAGGGAAUAAAGUGAGGGACGUGUCCCUUUUUGUAUGUACCUUAUGAAUAAGGAUCGGCUAACUCCGUGCCAGCAGCCGCGGUAAUACGGAGGAUCCAAGCGUUAUCCGGAUUUAUUGGGUUUAAAGGGAGCGUAGGUUGACAUAUAAGUCAGCUGUGAAAGUUUACGGCUCAACCGUGAAAUUGCAGUUGAUACUGUAUGUCUUGAGUGUACAAGAGGUGGGCGGAAUUCGUGGUGUAGCGGUGAAAUGCUUAGAUAUCACGAAGAACUCCAAUUGCGAAGGCAGCUCACUGGGGUACAACUGACACUGAGGCUCGAAAGUGUGGGUAUCAAACAGGCUUAGAUACCCUAGUAGUC